ensembl:lncRNA
UUUUUUUUGUUGCUCUGGUUAAUAACUUGAUUGGUGGAAUUAUUUUUUAAAAAAGAAGACAAAUUCAAACCGUCUGGGUGAUAAAAAACAACUAUUCAACAGUUUAUGGUAUCCUGACUAGAAUUGUAGUGUGUAGUGUGUGUGUGUGUGUGUGUAGUGUGUCUGUGUGUGUGUGUAGUGUGUCUGUGUGUGUACUGUAUGUGUGUGUGUGUGUGUGUGUGUGUGUGUGUGUGUGUAGUGUGUGUGUACUGUAUGUGUGUAGUGUGUGUGUAGUGUGUGUGUGUAGUGUGUGUAUUGUGUGUGUAGUGUAUGUGUGUAGCGUGUGUAGUGUGUGUGUAGCGUGUGUAGUGUGUGUGUAGCGUGUGUAGUGUGUGUGUGUAGUGUGUGUAGUGUGUGUGUAGCGUGUGUAGUGUCCAGACACUCUUCAUAUUAGCAUCAUUAGUGGUUCAGCUGCUUCAGGACUUGAAAUGUUGAAGAUCUUGGACCUUCUUCUGAGGCAUAGAAGACUUCCACAUCAUCCCCUGAAACAAAGUCAACGUCCCCAUAAGGCCCUGUUUAAAAAGGUAGUGCACUACACAGGCAAUAGGGUGCCAUUCGGGACAGAACCAAACACUUUCUUUCAGAAGUCAUUGGUGCUUCCUGCACCUCAUCUGAGACUGUAAAGACUUUAAAGUUAAUACAACAUUUACAUUUCUUUCUUUUUUUUUUAAACGGACAAAUUAAUGAAAUCUCAACUUCCUGCCAAAUAAAAGUAAACUUGUCCAUCCUCUCAAAUACAUAGAGACACAUGAAAUGAAUAUUAGGAGACCUGAUGUACAGAAACCAGUGUUAAAAAUGAUUCAAACAGCUCCUAACUAGAGCCUCAUAACUAUGUUCCAAAUGGCACCUAUUCUCUAUACACUACACUGCUUUGGACCAGAACCCAUCUGGACCGGGACCCAUCUGGACCGGGACCCAUCUGGACCGGGACCCAUCUGGACCGGAGCCCAUCUGGACCGGAGCCCAUCUGGACCGGAGCCCAUCUGGACCGGGACCCAUCUGGACCAGGACCCAUCUGGACCGGGACCCAUCUGGACCAGACCCAUCUGGACCGGGACCCAUCUGGAGCCCAUCUGGACCCAUCUGGACCAGAGCCCAUCUGGACCCAUCUGGACCAGAGCCCAUCUGGACCCAUCUGGACCAGAGCCCAUCUGGACCCAUCUGGACCAGAGCCCAUCUGGACCCAUCUGGACCAGAGCCCAUCUGGACCCAUCUGAACCAGAGCCCAUCUGGACCCAUCUGAACCAGAGCCCAUCUGGACCCAUCUGGACCAGAGCCCAUCUGGACCCAUCUGGACCAGAGCCCAUCUGGACCCAUCUGGACCAGAGCCCAUCUGGACCCAUCUGGACCAGAGCCCAUCUGGACCCAUCUGGACCAGAGCCCAUCUGGGCCCAUCUGGACCAGAGCCCAUCUGGACCCAUCUGGACCAGAGCCCAUCUGGACCCAUCUGGACCAGAGCCCAUCUUGGCCCAUCUGGACUAUACAGGGAAUAGGGUGCCAUUUGGGACGAAUCUUUCAAAAGGAUUGUUGGGGGGGGUCAUAUUUGUCCUGUCACACACAAGUGUAUUUCUUGCAUAUCCCAACUCCCCCGAAACACCUGCAGGGAGUGGGGUCACGGUCAGGGUCACCAUAUCCCAACUCCCCUGAGACACCUGCAGGGAGUGGGGUCACGGUCAGGCUCACCAUAUCCCAACUCCCCGAGACACCUGCAGGGAGUGGGGUCACGGUCAGGGUCACCACAUCCCAACUCCCCUGAGACACCUGCAGGGAGUGGGGUCACAGUCAGGGUCACCAUAUCCCAACUCCCCCUGAGACACCUGCAGGGAGUGGGGUCACGGUCAGGGUCACCAUAUCCCAACUCUCCCUGAGACACCUGCAGGGAGUGGGGUCACAGUCAGGGUCAACAUUGUACAGAGCCCCUGGAGCAAUUAGGUUUAAAGUGCCUUGCUCAAGGGCACAAGCGACAGAUUUUUCAUCUCUGUUACUGGCCCAACACUCUAACCUCGAGGCUACCUGCCAUCCUGAGGGAUAAUGUUUCCUGCAUUCAUACAACAAUAAACAGACACCAUUAAGAUCUCACUAACCCGUAAGGGUAUGAACAUGUUUGCCCUGAUAUCUACAACUAGUGAUGUAAGAUGGAAAAGAAAUGGGCCAGCCACAUCUAAUUCUAGGACCUGUCUGUCUGUCUGUCUGUCUGUUUCUCGGUCUGUCUGUCUGUCCGUCUGUCUGUAUCUGUCUCUGGGUCUCUGUCUGUCUGUCUAUCUGUCUGUCUGUCCGUAUCUGGGUCUCUGUCUGUCUGUCUGUCCGUAUCUGGGUCUCUGUCUGUCUGUGUCUGUCUGUCUGUCUGUCUGUCCGUCUGUCUGUCUGUCUGUCUGUCUGUCUGUUUCUCUGUCUGUCUGUCUAUCUGUCUGGGUCUCUGUCUGUCUGUCUGUCUGUCUGUCUGUCUGUCUGUCUGUCUGUCUGUCUGUCUGUCUGUCUGUCUGUCUGUCUGUUUCUCGGUCUGUCUGUAUCUGUCUCUGGGUCUCUGUCUGUCUGUCUGUCUGUCUGUCUGUCUGUCUAUCUGUCUCUG